AGCGCAGAUAGGUAUGGUAAAGCAUAGGGAAGCAUUGUAAAGCAUAGAGAGAUAUGGUAAAGCAUAGGGAAGCAUUGUAAAGCACAGAGAGGUAUGGUAAAGCACAGGGAAGCAUUGUAAAGCAUAGAGAGGUAUGGUAAAGCAUAGGGAAGCAUUGUAAAGCACAGAGAGGUAUGGUAAAGCAUAGGCAAGCAUUGUAAAGCAUAGAUAGGUAUGGUGAAGCAUUGUAAAGCAUAGAUAGGUAUGGUAAAGCAUAGGGAAGCAUUGUAAAGCACAGAGGUAUGGUAAAGCAUAGGGAAGCAUUGUAAAGCACAGAGAAAUGGUAAAGCAUAGGCAAGCAUUGUAAAGCACAGAGAUAUGGUACAGCAUAGGGAAGCAUUGUAAAGCGCAGAGAGGUAUGGUAAAGCAUAGGGAAGCAUUGUAAAGCAUAGAGAGGUAUGGUAAAGCAUAGGGAAGCAUUGUAAAGCACAGAGAGGUAUGGUAAAGCAUAGGGAAGCAUUGUAAAGCAUAGAGAGGUAUGGUAAAGCAUAGGGAAGCAUUGUAAAGCACAGAGAGGUAUGGUAAAGCAUAGGGAAGCAUUGUAAAGCACAGAGAGGUAUAGUAAAGCAUAGGGAAG